UAGUACUAUUAAUCAUCAGAUACGAGUUCUUUUAACAUAUAAAGCUAGGAGUGCAGUUAAGGAAGCGGAAGGCAAAACUGCAUACUCAUCGAACCCGUGACGGCUCACCCAAAUUAAUCAUUAUUUUUCCAAGAUAAGAAGUUUCUCCACUACCUAGUUCAAUAAUUUGUAUAUUUUUAUGGUAUGUUCAUAUAUAUAUAUAUUUAAUUUAUACAUAGGACUCUGAUCAUGUCCCGUCCGGUACGGAGGCAGGACGAGUGUCGUCAAUUAAUCGUAGUCGUUCAUCCACACCUCCUUAAUCGGAAGGUUACAAUUGCUAGUUGAUUUUUUUAAUCGUAGCUAUUAAGUUGAUCGUGUGGUUAGGGAGGACCAAGUGAGAUGUAAUGACAACAGACAUUUGAUUAGACAGUUGCAGGCCUAUGGUGUAGGGGUAAGCUGAGCUUGUAAUGGGUUUUAGAGGAGAGAGAGAGCCAGUUGCACUUCCUUACUACUUAUCUUCUCUUGUAAAAGAAAACCCAUAAUCGGUUGGUAUCAUAUUUCAAAGAGAAAAUUUCGCCAUAAAAAAUUUCGUGUUAGUGGAAGAUCAAGGCGUGCGCAGUCGUUAUCGUUUGAAUCGUAAACCAUUUGUGUUAGAUCUUGACGAAGUAAAACCUUUUGUGCAAGUACAAAUUUAUUUUUCCAUUUAUCUUAGUUGGGUUGAAGAAUUUCGUUAACUUCUUUAAAAUGGUUUAAUGCUACUCUGAAAUUUAUGGGUUUGAAGAACUAAUAGUGAAGCCUGUAUUUUGUUCAGUGGUGAUGUCUUUUGAGCUCCAUAUUUAUUUUAAAUUUUAUUAUAUCAAAAUAAUUUUUGCCUAUAUGGUCUUUGCGUCGAGGGGGAUCGUGGUUUUUGGGUGAAAAAACUUAAAUUUUUUAUAUGUUUUUCUUUUCAUAUUUUUGGAUGAAACCAUAGUUGUCGAUUGAUCGUAAAUCACUGUAUAGGAUGCAUGCAUGCAUGGACUAUAUCUUCAAUCUUGAAUGUAAUGGGUGUAGUCUUCAAGUUUAAACCGAUGGUUUAUAAGAUGUAAUAACUUGUUCCAAUUUCAAUUGAUAAGUUAAAAAGAUAAGAGCAUGUUCUUUUUUUAUGGUAGUUGUAGUUCAUGAUCUGUUUGUUGUGAUUACAAUUAAGUAGUGACCAUUUUUUUAAACAUGCAUUUGUGUUACUCUGUUUUGAUUGUAGUCAUGCAAUCUUUGAUUUUUUUUUUUCGUGAUAACCGAAAUUAGACCAUCCUUUUAAUAUUUAAUGGUGUCUGUCAAUUUUUUUGGCAAUUAUACUAUGUGUCACAGGGUUUAGCCUAGAAUUGCUUGCAAUACUUGUCUCGAGAUUGAAUAGCUCGUAUGUUUCUUAAUUGUUUUGUUAUUCAACAUAAUCUUAUAGGGUGGAUGCGAUGAAACGAAAGCGAGGUGGAGCGUCGAAGAAGGUUGAGUCUCGGAGGGGAAAGGUUGAUGUCGUGGAUUUCGUGACCGGAAGAUUGAAUGAAAUUAAAAGAGAAAGUGCCAAACUAGAGGCCAUGUUGAGAGAUCAAAGAAUACAAGAGAAUAAAAUAUGCAGAUGGAACUUGUUGGGAAGUGGAAGUCCGGUAUGAGUGUUGCUUCCACAAGUAAAUCAAGAAAGCGGAAAAAGGUGCCAUCAUUAGAUUCAGAUGAGGCAGAGGUAGAUGAGGAUGUUGAAGAGUGUAAUGAAGAAGAUGGUGUGUUAGAGGUUGAGUCCAAAGAGCUUGUGACUAGAUGCCCAUUCGAACAGGUUGUUCGAAUUCUGAGGACAUUGUUGGGUGAACAGAAGUUUAUGGUAAUCGAAGCUGGGUUUGGAUCUUAUCUGCGGGAAGAUUUCCCGAGUAUAUACAGUUCGUUGGCUCAGUGGUUAGUGGAGUCAGUGGAUGUGAAAAGGAAAUUGUCUAAAGAUUUACGACAACACAUUCCCCAUUUCUGGGAAGGUAUUUCAGCGUGUCAUGGACAUCCUGGAUGGAAGUCAAUUAAUAAAUGAGAAAGCGAGGGUGCCUGAAUGUGAGUUGAAAAACAGAAUACCCAGUGGCAAAAACUGUGUGGAAUUGUCUACUUUAGAAACACAAAUUCUAAAUUACGAUGAGGCCGACGAUUAUUUAUUGGCAAUUUUCAUUAUGAUUGUCUUGGGCAGCGUCCUUGUCCCUGGGUUAAGCAACCAGCUGCGAACCAGUUAUAUAAUAUCUUGUGCGUGAUCUGCAAAAAGUUUGUUUUUAUAUAUGGGUCACCCACAGCUAUAGAGGCCUCAUGACAUCUAUCCAAAAGUACUAAGCAGGACGUUUGUCUCACUUGAAUUGCUGCACGACAUUCCUUUAGUUCAUGUACUUCUAGCACAUACAAGUUCCAGACAUUUAUAUUGACUGCUCGGUGCAACCUAUCAAGUUUUGGAACGAUGAGGAGUGCAAGAGAGUUAAGGCUUAUGUUUUUCAACACGACGGUUAUAGCGGUUUAAAAAACGUAUACCUAAAAUUAUAUGCUGUAUAGUCUUUUUUAGGGAUUAUCUUUUCUAGCAUAGUGGACUGUUUCAUCAUUUAAAAAAAAAAAAAAUUAAUGAUCAUAGGCUCGCGCUGUCAAUGAGCUUAGUGUUGGUACAGAGCUUGGACGUUCUAUUCCUAGACUAGGUGGUGUGGAAGGUGGAAAAUUUGAGGAAAUUUAGUCGUCAAAUGGAGGCCCUAAUCACACUGGUUGUCACACUACUAGAUAAGUUUAAAGUGUUGUUGGCCAAUGAGGUGAGUAAAUUUAAGCAAGCGAGGAGCGUGAAGAAUCUUUGAAAAAUGCAUCGGGCGUGGAUAGGGAGGAUGAAGAAUGGAAUGAGGGAGAUGAGACUCAACUUAAUAAGCUUCUGAUUGACCUUACAAAGGGAGUAGAGAAUUUGGGUGUUGUCGUUGAGUUUUCGAAAAAUGAACAAGUGGAGCCGAACCCUUGGGGCAUCGUAGCAUAUGAGUUGUUUCUGAGUAGUGAGGGGCUUGUUGUGGGGCCUUUCAAACUACUGCACUUUAUUCCACUUCAGUUGUACAAGCUUGUUGAUUUCAUGUACAACCAUGCCUUGGAAGACAAGCAAAAAUAUAUGGUAAGGACUACCCAACUGACCGUGUCAAAAGAGAAAACAAAUGGAAGGAAUAUCAUUUAUCCAACUUCAAAAAGUGUCAAGAGAUGGUAGGCUUGGUUUUAGAUGAUAACCCUAUUGCUGAAGCCCAUUGCUUCGUGGUUCGACUAAAUAUGGCAGCACGAGUAGCUGCAUUUGGGAUUCCUACUACUCAGAUGGAGCCAAAGAUGACAGAAUCACUUGCACUCAGGAGAUAGUAUGCCCCUGCUCCUUUAUCUGGAUAUUCAGUUGGAGACAAUGGAGACCUUGUUCGCUUUUGAUGUUCGUGGAACACAGCCAGGUGGUUGGAACUUUACAGGAUUUGAAAAGACUUUUGAGAAAAAUCUACCCCAACAAGAUAAUGGUUAUGAUUGUGGGGUUUCUGUUCUGAAAUUCAUGGAGACACUAAUUGAGGGAAACACAACUGUGUAUGAGGUAUUAAACUAAACGUUACUACAUUUUUAUAUUAUAAAAACAGUUUGAUUAAAACUUUGACCCUAGUCAGCUUUUUAAUUUGAUUUUCUUUGUUGAUCAUGUAAACUUAAGGGCCUGUUGUACUGAACUGAACAUCUACUUUCCAACCGUAUUUUUUCCUCCUAGUUUGAUGCAUUUGCUGAGCGUUACCGAUU